rnacentral:snRNA from 14 species
UGACUUAAGAGGUGGUUUUUCCAGAGUGAGACUUAUCCCUUGCACUCCAGGCAUGCUGACCUUUGUGAGUUUCCCCAAAAACAGGAAACUUGACUGCACAAUUUUGUGGCAAUGGGGGAACUGCUUUUUUGCCUUCCCCCU